rnacentral:rRNA from 1 species
UACGAAGGGGGCUAGCGUUGUUCGGAAUCACUGGGCGUAAAGCGCGCGUAGGCGGAUUUGCAAGUUGGGGGUGAAAGCCCGAGGCUCAACCUCGGAACUGCCCUCGAUACUGCAAAUCUCUAGUCCGAGAGAGGUGAGUGGAAUUCCUAGUGUAGAGGUGAAAUUCGUAGAUAUUAGGAAGAACACCAGUGGCGAAGGCGGCUCACUGGCUCGGUACUGACGCUGAGGCGCGAAAGCGUGGGGAGCAAACAGG